AUACUUAACCCGGCCCCAGGAGAUACCGUGAUCAUGAAGGGGUUUUCCCAAGGCGGGCUCAAAAUUGGGACUCCCGGGGGCGCUGACCCUUGCGAUUUAAACCCAAAUGUGGUUAACUUUGAGUGCGCAAAUUUUUUUUGUGGGGGGUGCCCUUCGCGCUAUCCCCCU